rnacentral:rRNA from 1 species
UACGAAGGGGGCUAGCGUUGCUCGGAAUCACUGGGCGUAAAGGGUGCGUAGGCGGGUCUUUAAGUCAGGGGUGAAAGCCCGGAGCUCAACUCCGGAACUGCCAUUGAAACUGUUUAGCUUGAGGAUGAGAGAGGUGAGUGGAAUUCCCAGUGUAGAGGUGAAAUUCGUAGAUAUUGGGAAGAACACCGGUGGCGAAGGCGGCUCACUGGCUCAUUACUGACGCUCAGGCGCGAUAGCGUGGGGAUCAAACAGG